CCCCGGGAGAUUUAAACCGCGCCUUACUAGUGAUGUACAUUCGCUCGGAUAAUACCAGGAGAGAUUAUUUUGGGGGGAGGGUGUUGUAAGCGUUUCAUUUUCCUCGCUUCUUUCUCGUGCCGUUUUCGCGGACGUUUUCUUCUAAGUUUUGCUGGCCUUCCACGGGAGAUGGAGCGUUUGCUGCCGGUGUGGCAAGUGUUGGGGCGAGACGGGUAACCUGCUUCCCCAGAAAGGAGAUGUGUGAAAAUUCUUUGUCCUCUAGGAUACAGACAGUGAGUGUGGGAGUUAGCACAGAACCUUGCUAUGCCAGGUGGGAAGUAGAGACAGACGAAGUUAUUCUCCAGCGGUGGCAAAAGCAGAUAGAUUAUGGCAAGUGCACACCUGGCUACCAGUGCUUUCUGCACCAGGUCCUCAAGGCACAGUGACAGCCUGGGCUUCACCCUGAAACACUAAACAAGAACAGGAGGUACAGCCAUCACUCCUGGGAUGCCCAGAUCAGACAGUGGAGAAGAGCCCCACAUUCCUGGGAUCCUCCCAGCUAGCCUCUGCAGGGCAGAGGGGCUGAGGGGCAGGGAAUGAAGAGUCUCUUAGAGCCAAUGGAUUCCACUCCUUUGGAUGACCGGCUCCAGGCCCUGGAGCCCUCAGAAUAUGGAUGGAGAGUAUCCUUUGCUGAAACCCAUUGGAGCAGGGUCACAAAUGGGGUUUGGCUCAUGAGGGCACAAUUAAGAUGCAGUUCAAAGCAGUGGCCCAAGAACAAAAGACUAAAAAGGGGGCAGCAGGGAAAGAGCAGGACAUGAGUAAAAAAUCCUUGGGAACUAAAAGUGGAAUAAGGAGAUUUAAUUAUGGGUAGGAGUGUUGGGCUGCACUGGGAGGCCAUUUUAUAGAUGAUGAAAGGGGAUGUAAACUUCCUUUGAAAUGAGGCCUGAAACUUGACUUGCAGGGUUGUUGUUUUGUUGUUGUUGUUUUGUUUUGUUUUGUUUUGGGUCUCAGUUUCUUUCAAUGUUUUGCAAAUAAGCCAAUGCCUACUUUUAACUCAACCAUUUUAAAAUAAUUAAAUUAUUAAUUUAAUUAUUAAUUAAAUUAAUAAUUUAAUUAAUAAUAAAAAGGUGAACAGCUUAGUGGCGAAAAGCAAGGGCUUUUAGACUGCUUUUUGAGAGUACCUUUGCCUACCAUGUGGGCAGUCACUUAACUUCUUGGGCUGUUUCAUUUGUCAAAGAGAAGGUUUGUUUCAUUUGAUGAUUGUAAGAAAAAAUGAGAAUAUAUAUCAAAGUAUGUAGGUCAAGUGUGGUGGUUCACACCUGGAAUCCCAGCACUUCGUUUUUUGUUCAUUUGUUUGUUUUUUUUGAGACAGAGUCUCAUUCUGUUGCCUAGGCUGGAGUGCAGUGGCACAAUCUCGGCUCACUGCAAUCUCUGCCUCCCCGGUUCAAGCGAUUCUCCUGCCUCAGCUUCCCGAGUAGCUGGGAUUACAGGUGGGCGCCACAAUGCCCAGCUAAUUUUUGUAUUUUUUAGUAGAGAUGGGGGUUUCACCAUGUUGCCAGGCUGGUCUCGAACACCUGACCUCAGUUGAUCCAUCUGCCUCAGCCUCCCAAAGUGCUAGGAUUACAGGUGUGAGACACCACGCCAAUCCCAGCACUUUGUGAGGCCAAGAUGGGAAGAUUGUUUGAGGCCAGGAGUUUGAGACUACGCUGGGCAACAUAGCAAGACGCCUCUCUCUACAAAAAUAGAAAUAAAUAUGCUGGGCAUGGUGGCACACCCCUGUAGUUCUAGCUAUUCAGGAGGCUGAGAUGGAAAGGAUUGCUUGAGCCCAGAAGUUCAAGGCUGCAGUGAGCUAUGAUCGCCUCACUGCACUCCAGCCUGAGCAACAGCAAGACCCUGUUUUUUUUAAAAAAAAAAAAAAAAAAAAAAAGUAGCAUGGUGUCUGGCACAUAAGAGCAAUUGUUGGAAACCAUGUGUCCCCUACUUCAUGGCCCCUAACUCUGCUCCUUUUGCCAAGGGGAAAUAGGCAGUGCAAGGUAAAUCUCUCCACCCCUAUUUUCUCAGUUAGUACUGUACCUCACUUUUCCUCUACUCUUUUUCAGUUUGCAGACUUGGUGGCUCCUGCCUCCUCCCCUCCCUGGCUCAGUGAGGAAGAACCCCGCC